rnacentral:misc_RNA from 1 species
UGCCACUACGGUGCCCACAGAUUUUGCUUGACUGCUGGCCUUUGUUAUAUCUAACUUCUCCAUCCUGAAAAUGAUGGCAAGCAAAAAUGUAAAACCUGGCAUCAAAUUCCCUAAAGCAGCUGCCAGUGUAGGAGUGCUGUACUUAAUACCUGUAAAGGCCACAGCUUGCACCAAACAAAUUCCCAACAGGCCAAGAAGGAAGAAUCUCCACAAUAUAGGCAAAGUAAUAGGAACCAUAUUGCUUCUGUGUCUAUGGAAGAUUAAGCAAGGAAGAAGAAAAAGGGUACCAAGGGCAUUAUAGUAAACAACAUAAACAAGAUUGUUCAAUCCAUCAUUCAUGGCUGCUUUACCAAGUGUAAUCAUCAACAUUUCACAACAUUCCACCAUCACCAUUGCCAAAAAGGGCAAGAAAUCAGUUGACCAACAUUGCAUCACCAUUUUUCUUUCUUUACACUCCCAG